rnacentral:rRNA from 1 species
AACGAACGCUGGCGGCGUGCCUAACACAUGCAAGUCGAGCGCGAAAAGGGCAACCUGAGUAGAGCGGCGCACGGGUGCGUAACACGUGGGUAAUCUGCCUUAGAGUCGAGGAUAACCUUCCGAAAGGUUGGCUAAUACUCGGUAAGCUUACGGUGUCUUCGGACGCUGUGGGAAAAGUAGGCCUCUGUUUACAAGCUUACGCUCUGAGAUGAGCCCGCGGCCCAUCAGCUAGCUGGCGGUGUAACGGACACCCAAGGCAACGACGGAUAGUUGGUCUGAGAGUACGAUCAGCCACACUGGAACUGGGACACGGUCCAGACUGCUACGGGAGGCAGCAGUGGGGAAUUUUCCACAAUGGGCGAAAGCCUGAUGGAGCAACGCCGCGUGUGUGAUGAAGGUUUUCGGAUCGUAAAGCACUUUCGACCGGGACGAAAAACCUCUGGCUAACAUCCAGGGGCCUGACGGUACCGGGAGAAGAAGCACCGGCUAACUCUGUGCCAGCCGCCGCAGUAA